GAUGUGUAAAUUAUAUGUGUGUGUCACGUUUUUGCUUGAAGUUGAUGUGGUUACUGUGUGUUUGUGGUUGUGAAUAAGUAGUUGAAUAUACAAAUAGAGGAAUCUAAGAAGAAAGAAGUUAACGUUGAAGAUAAUGUGCUUGCACCAUCUUCUCAAUCCAAUUGUUUUAUAAUUAGUAGAUUUAAGCUUGGAAUUGAGCUUGUACUUUCUUUUAUCUGACGUGUUUGAUCAAUUUUCCACUUUUUGUUUGUAUGGAAUGAGUGUCAAUGUUGGUGUUGUCGUGUAGUUAUGCAAAAAAUGAAUUCUGGUUUGAGAGUGAUGUCAAUAUACAUAUAAUAGUAGGAGUGUUGAUGAACAUGUCUAGAUUGAAACUGAUUACAUGAUGUGGGGUUAUUGCAGCCAUAUGUGUUGUACGGUGAUUUUUACCGAUACGAUGUUGACAAGAAUGAGUGGAAAUUAAUAUCCAGCCGUGACAGUCCACCACAUCGCGGUGCUUAUCACGCUGUUUCCCGGAAGAAUGUCUUUCCAUUUAUGGUGGUAAAUUUACCUCUCCCAAUCAAGAGCGUUUCAACCACUUCAAGGACUUCUGGAUGUUGGACUUGAAAACCAAUAAAUGGGAACAACUAAAUUUUAAAGGAUGUCCUAGUCCUCGGUCAGGCCACUGGAUGCAAUGGACAGGACAAUUACCUUGAAGAGGCUAUGAAAUUAAGAAUCUUCUUGAUGAACUUUUGAGGAAAUCAUGGCAUUCGCCCUCCAACCAUUCUUGGUGUGAGAGAGCAUGUUUUGACAGGUGUGUACUCUUUGGCCUGGUUUAUGUCCAACCGAGAGACUAGUUUUGUGACAUUGGGACGUGUUCUAGCCUAUCCUCUAAAGCUGUUUUCAGCUAUAUUACAAUGCAGCUUCAUCUUUGCUCAUUCUUUCACAUAUUCUCCCUGGGUACUAGAACCCAUUAUUGAUGUACCAUUCUGCACGGAGGAGCAAAAUAUCGAGCAACUGGUAGAGGCUUUGUUGUCCAUCAGAUCAAGUUUGCUGAUUACAGGCUAAACUUGAGAAGUCAUUUUAUUAAAGCGCAAGUAAUUCAAGUGGACUCUCUUGAUGAAGGUGGUAAAUUUACCUCUCCCAAUCAAGAGCGUUUCAACCACUUCAAGGACUUCUGGAUGUUGGACUUGAAAACCAAUAAAUGGGAACAACUAAAUUUUAAAGGAUGUCCUAGUCCUCGGUCAGGCCACUGGAUGCAAUGGACAGGACAAUUACCUUGAAGAGGCUAUGAAAUUAAGAAUCUUCUUGAUGAACUUUUGAGGAAAUCAUGGCAUUCGCCCUCCAACCAUUCUUGGUGUGAGAGAGCAUGUUUUGACAGGUGUGUACUCUUUGGCCUGGUUUAUGUCCAACCGAGAGACUAGUUUUGUGACAUUGGGACGUGUUCUAGCCUAUCCUCUAAAGCUGUUUUCAGCUAUAUUACAAUGCAGCUUCAUCUUUGCUCAUUCUUUCACAUAUUCUCCCUGGGUACUAGAACCCAUUAUUGAUGUACCAUUCUGCACGGAGGAGCAAAAUAUCGAGCAACUGGUAGAGGCUUUGUUGUCCAUCAGAUCAAGUUUGCUGAUUACAGGCUAAACUUGAGAAGUCAUUUUAUUAAAGCGCAAGUAAUUCAAGUGGACUCUCUUGAUGAAGCUGAAGCUCUGCAGCGAUAGGCUGGCCCCAUUCUGCUGCUGUGUAUAUAAGAGCAUCAUGGUAUUCUAAAGGAACCUUCAGUAAAGGAGAAAUAUCAUAGUAACUCAAAUUAAGGUAUUAAGGUAUCAUCCGAAUGAAACUUGGUCUGUUAAGAGAGUAAGAGUCAUUCGUGUAGAUAUAAAAAGCUCAAAAAAGCAAACAGCUUGAUACACAUAUAUCCCAUAUGUGAACAUUUACGAGAUGUAAAAAUAUCAAUAUCAGGAAUUUCUAGUCAUAUGUUGUAUCAAUAAACAAUGUGAUAGAUAUACUAAAGAAAGACCUACUUGUUAAUAUAAAUGCUUAGUUAUAUUGUAGAAGAUAGUAUUUUAUCCAAAGCUCCAGACAAAGAAAUCAUCAAUAUAAAACAUGAAAGAUGACCCUUUAAUUCUGAUUAUUUAGUGAUUUGGGUGUUGAAUCGAUUUAUUCAGCAUGCACAUAUCAAAGACCGUUAGUAAUUAAAGUCUUUAUUUACUGUUACCUAUUGCACUUCUUUGACAUUACUAGAGGGAGUGUGAUAAAAGCUUAGUUAUGUUGUAUAAGACGGUAUUUUUAUAAUAUUCUUGUUUUUUAAGAUAGUUAUAUUCUUGUGGCAAAAAAAAAAAGAAGAAAAGAUAGUUUUAUUCUUCAGAAUUUCUCUCAGUAAUGCUUUCAUGGCUAUAGACGAGAAAUAGGAUGAUCUCGAUCUGGCAGAUUCUUGUUUAAUUCACAUAGAGUAGCUUGCUACAUGUCAAGUGAAUAAGCCUUGUGGCCUCUUAUGUCGUCAUAAAGGACAGGCAUAGCCUCAUUUUCCGUGUGAAGUGAAUACACUUGUAGCAAUAUAUAAGUAGUGACAAGGUUUUUCACGGGACCUGAGGAAAGGAUACAAUCAAUAUUCCCUAUUUUAUAAUAAUUCUAAUUUAACCACCAACGCUAGAAUAAAGUGAUCCACAAUCUAAUAAUCGCACUGAAUAAUCAUCAACAGGGUAAAAUGCGAUUCACGAAUCAGGACUAAAGAUGUCAAAUUUCUAUCAAGAUAAGAGAAACUUAUGACCAGUCACAAUCCUAGGAUUUAGUAAAUCAACAAGAAUGUUCCAAUGUACCAAGAAAAAGAAUAAAUUUAUGGAGAAACAUUUUUUUAAAACUUUAUAAGAAUCAGUAUAGUCCUGAUCCCCAUUUUAUUCAUUAUUCAAUCAAACAAAGAAUCAGUUGCACAUCUAAACUUUAAAUUUAUUCAUUCUAAUAUAAAGAUUAACACACACCACUUAAAAGAUCAACCAAGUUAAAGUAGUUAUACCUGGA